UCCUGCGGCUAUUUAAAGGCUCUACCUGUUGUAUAUAGUAGGCACUCAGUAAAUAUUUGUUAGUUAAAUGAAUAUUCCUUACUGCAAGCGAAACUGGAGUUCUUGUUGCGAUGAUCUUCAACAAGAAAAGGGGCAACCAAAUUAUAUCCUGGAUGAAAAAAAACCAAGAGUCUAUUGGAACUUGCAACUGAAGACAUUUAAAAGAAUCAAGGCUACAACUAUCUGGAAACUUUUGUGUUUUAGUUAGUGUAUUGAUUGUGUUAAUUGGCAGCCCUUUCCACUGCCAGCUCCUCUCUCAGUUGUAUGAGGAACCACGAGGGGGCAAUGUCUUCCUGACCAAUAGCUGAGUGGUGGUCUCUGACCUCUGUGCUGGCUUUGCACUUUGUCCUCAGCCAUUCUUGCCAGUUACUGAAUAUACUCCACAGAAAGGCAUUGUCUUCCUGGAGCCUGGCAAGGGCCCAAGGAAAAUGGCAAUUAAUCUAGUCCUUGAUGGUUCCAGUCAGACCCCGUUUAGAGUAAGUGGAAUAUGUUGUGUGAGUUCAGGAUGUUGGGAGAACCUCCCCUCCCCCCACCCAGGGAAACGUGGCUUUAUUCCAAACAUGGAACCUGAUUCCUUUGUCUUUAAGCCAAGCCAGGACUUUGUCCAUUGUUGAAAGUCAGAAACCUCUGAGAUAAAAAACAAAAGUAAGUUCCAUGAGAGAAUCCUUGCCUGCCGUGUCCAUGGUUGUGUACUCAGCAUCUAGACAGUGCAUGAGGCAUAGUAGGCACUCUUUUUUAAAUGAAUGAUCACAUUAAGUCUUACCAUUGUUAAUUUUCAGGACUGAAUGACAGUAUUGGAUCCUUUCAAGUAUAUAGUCAGUGGUGAAGGUGACAUGUUCAGAGUGUUUUCAGGAAAGUAUAGGGGGAUGGGAUGAGAUGUCACGAAAAUGGGGUUUACCGCUUUCUAUCCCUUUUGUGGAAAAUGGCUUAGGCUUAUUUGGAAGAACAGUAAAGUAAUAAAUACAUCACCAUGAAGACCCAAGGAAAAUCUGUAAACAGACUUGCACUAUUUAUAAAACUUUGUGAUCAAAAAAAAAAAAAAAAACUUUGUGAUCGAAGGGAAAGAGUGAGUUUGCAGGGAGAAGAAAAACGUACAUUGGAUCAGGAAAUAAAUGAUCUUUAUGGCUUGUUUACUACUUCAAAGGAAGAAAUUUUGAAAAGUGAGACGUGCUCAGUAGCAAUAGUUUCCAGGCAUACCGAGAAUAGAAGACAACAAAGGGAUUUUAUGCCCUGGAAAAAUUGGGCUAAUGACCCCAAAAUAUCUGCUUUCUCCUGGGCCCACUACCCUACCGCAUUGCCGUCUAGUCUACAAGGUUAUGUUGGGAGGGAAAUAUUGCAUACACCUGUAGUUUUUAUUACUCAUUGCUGUUUCCCUGACAGUGUUCAUUUUGAGGCUUGUUUUAAGAAAUACAAACCCAUAAUUAUGUCUUAAAUGUCUGUCUUGGGAAUUGGAAACAUUGAAGGUCUAUUUUGAGUCUA